AAAACUUUCUCCAUUUUAAAAAUAAUUUUAUAUGAUAAAUGUAUUAUAUAAGGUUUUACGUUGCACUUUAGCAGAUAUAGGUGAGCGAAAAAGGAAACGUAUACAUAUUAUUACUUCACACGGUGCACUAAAAUGGUCAACCUUUCAAUUCUUGGGUGCAUUCGACCCUUCCUUUUCCAAAGAUUACUUUGUAUGAAAUAUAUAACAGACGUCAGUAAAACCAACAUAUAAUUUUGUUUACACUGCAAAUAAAACUAUUGAUGGAAGAUUGGGUUACAACUUUUUUCAUCAUAUUAAUCGUUUUCAUCAUUGUGGUACAUGGAAUACUUUUAAUAAUCAUCAGAGUUUGUUGUAAAAAGAAUUGUUGCGACAGAGGAUUGCAGACAAGGUCCUACCGAAGUAAUAGUACAUUGUCAGGAUAUCAUGCAUCUAGACAUAGAGGGAUCCACUUCACGACGCAAACAUCGUUAGAUACUGCUAUGCACAGAUCAUCAUCUACAGAAAAUUUUGACCUAAAUAGCUUUAGAGAAGAACCCAGAAAUGCACCGAUAUCCACUCCACAUUCUGAAAAUACAGAUCAGGGGGAAUGUCAUAUUGUAACUGCUGAUUUAACUGAAUCCUCAAAUUUCUUAGUUGAUGGUUUUAAAUUUGAAGAUUGUCCAAAUGUGCCCCCUCCUUCAUAUAGCAGUUUGUUUGAAUAGUAACACAUGUUCUGUUAAUUUAAAAGUGUGUACAUCUUGUUUU